rnacentral:rRNA from 1 species
GACGAACGCUGGCGGCGUGCUUAACACAUGCAAGUCGAACGGAAAGGCCCUGCUUUUGUGGGGUGCUCGAGUGGCGAACGGGUGAGUAACACGUGAGUAACCUGCCCUUGACUUUGGGAUAACUUCAGGAAACUGGGGCUAAUACCGGAUAGGAGCUCCUGCUGCAUGGUGGGGGUUGGAAAGUUUCGGCGGUUGGGGAUGGACUCGCGGCUUAUCAGCUUGUUGGUGGGGUAGUGGCUUACCAAGGCUUUGACGGGUAGCCGGCCUGAGAGGGUGACCGGCCACAUUGGGACUGAGAUACGGCCCAGACUCCUACGGGAGGCAGCAGUGGGGAAUAUUGCACAAUGGGCGGAAGCCUGAUGCAGAAACGCCGCGUGCGGGAUAACGGCCUUCGGGUUGUAAACCGCUUUCGCCUGUGACGAAGCGUGAGUGACGGUAAUGGGUAAAGAAGCACCGGCUAACUACGUG